rnacentral:misc_RNA from 1 species
UCUCCAUUGAGCUAUUGUCAUUCCGUGGAAUAUGACAACACUGAAGUACGAAUCCAACAAAAGAAUGCGAUCAGCAGCAAUUGAUGCCACAUCCAGUAAAGCUGGAGAAGGCAGUGUAUUGAAUGAAAAUGCCAUUAGUGUAGGUUGAAUCAUGACAACAGCACUGCUUAUACUCUCUCGGUAGAGCAGCAUCCGGAAAUAUGCUGUCUCGUCGGGACUAUUAUUGAAAACUUGCAAAAAUUGUGAUCGCCGCAAAUGAAACAUGAACUGAGGGAGCAGAGAAAAACAGGGAUUCAAAGUGAAAGAGGCAGGAUCAUCCUUCCUAUAUUCGCCAAACUUGGAACACAGGCGAAUCAGAUUCCGAUCUAGCCACCUUGUGGGAUCAAAAUCUUCCUCCAGCUCCAUUUUGUAAGAAGCCAAUCUAGCCAUUACUACGGCAGCAGCUUCCUGAUCAAAUCCUUGCACCAAGUCCUCAGUUCCAACAACAGCAUCAAGCCAUCUCCUAGUAAUGGUUGUAACUCGUAGUUUUGUUUGCCCAUCAGGGCUCUGAUAACUUGUAAGAAACUGUAUGUACAAUUGUGGA